rnacentral:rRNA from 1 species
AUUGAACGCUGGCGGAAUGCUUUACACAUGCAAGUCGAACGGCAGCACGGGGGCAACCCUGGUGGCGAGUGGCGAACGGGUGAGUAAUACAUCGGAACGUGCCCGGUCGUGGGGGAUAACGUAGCGAAAGUUACGCUAAUACCGCAUACGAUCUGAGGAUGAAAGCGGGGGACCUUCGGGCCUCGCGCGAUCGGAGCGGCCGAUGUCAGAUUAGGUAGUUGGUGGGGUAAAGGCCUACCAAGCCGACGAUCUGUAGCUGGUCUGAGAGGACGACCAGCCACACUGGGACUGAGACACGGCCCAGACUCCUACGGGAGGCAGCAGUGGGAAUUUUGGACAAUGGGCGCAAGCCUGAUCCAGCCAUUCCGCGUGCAGGACGAAGGCCUUCGGGUUGUAAACUGCUUUUGUAUGGAACGAAAAGGCUCUGGCUAAUACCUGGGGCUCAUGACGGUACCGUAAGAAUAAGCACCGGCUAACUACGUG